rnacentral:rRNA from 1 species
GAAGUUUAAAAAGGACGGCGUAAGCUGUCGCUAAAGGAUGGACCUGCGAUGCAUUAGCUAGUUGGUAAGGUAACGGCUUUACCAAGGCGAUGAUGCAUAGCCCCGAGUUGAGAGACUGAUCGGCCACAUUGGGACUGAGACACGGCCCAAACUCCUACGGGAGGCAGCAGUAGGGGAAUCUUCCACAACGGACGCAAGUCUGAUGGAGCAACGCCGCGUGAGUGAAGAAGGGUUUCGGCUCGUAAAGCUCUGUUGUUGGUGAAGAAGGACAGGGGGUAGUAACUGACCUUUGUUUGACGGUAAUCAAUUAGAAAGUCACGGCUAACUACGUGCCAGCAGCCGCGGUAAU